GACGCCUCCAAGUGUAACCACGUGGAGCUGAUGCACCAGAGUUGCGUCAUCUGGUGGCACGAGGUUACAUAUGUCACUCUGCUGAGUUACACAGCAGACGGCGUAGACAGGAACACACCUGGUCCUACAGCGAAAGGAACUUCGCCAUUCACGUGUGCACUGGGUCUGUGACUUGCUCCCAGCCUCGGAAACAAGUCUGCUUGCGUUGAUAUCAUACACCGAGAAAAACCAACCUGACUUCUUCGGGACUCUAUCGUGGCCCGAACUAACAUCUUGCUACUCCCCGGUUGGUCACCCCAGGAAAUCAUUGCCCUCCGGCGAAGAACAUGACUGCCU